UUAGGUAGCUCAGUUGGUAGAGCAAAGGACUGAAAAUCCUUGUGUCGGGGGUUCAAUUCCCUCCCUAAC
rnacentral:tRNA from 1 species